rnacentral:rRNA from 1 species
UACAGAGGUCUCAAGCGUUGUUCGGAUUCAUUGGGCGUAAAGGGCGCGUAGGUGGUUUUGUGUGUCUACCGUGAAAGCAUACAGCUCAACUGUAUUUUGUCGGUAGAAACUGCAGGACUUGAGGCUGGGAGGGGCUGGUGGAAUUCCCUGUGUAGCGGUGAAAUGCGUAGAGAUGGGGGAGAACACUCGUGGCGAAGGCGGCCAGCUAGACCAGUUCUGACACUGAGGCGCGACAGCGUGGGGAGCAAACAGG